rnacentral:lncRNA from 1 species
CUCGGUGUCAUGCAGGAGCCUCCUGACCAACAGUGUUCUGUGGAUGUGUUUCUAUCAAAGCAGGCACUGGGGGAAGUGGUCCAGCCGCGGAAUGCCAUCGUCAUCUGAUCACCCUGCACUUCUGAGUCAGUGGGCCUGGCAGAACAAAGGGCACUUCAGAGAGUCUUAUUGGAACAAAGAAAACAAAACAAUGGAGAGAAUAAUGUCUGCAGUGGUGUAGCGGGAAGCAACAAGAUUGACAGCAGAACUACGGUGACGGUGACCAACUAGACUGCUCCCAUUUGCCCAGGAUGGAAGAAUUCCCCGAGCCGUGGACGUACAGGGGGAGCUCCAGGAUAGCUGGUUGUUUCAGCUGCUAACCUCACUGGCAUCAAAUAAAGGCACUGCAUUUUGCCAGCCUGGAAGCCUCUGGCAAAGCCACUUCUCAGACCGUUGGUUGUCUUCUCUGUAAAGAGGAUGCUAAUAAAUACUCCUUAUGAUUUUGUUAAAUUAAGCAUGGAAUAAAGUGGUCUCCUUACAUAUUUUAAGUUUGCCUGAUAGGUUUCUCCACACAUAGUGGGCUGUAACCUAACUGGAUAUGUGAACCAACUGUCACCUCCUCUUGUAGCAAUCAGUUUCUGCCAAUCACAGGUGGCCAACUGUCCAGACCCGGCUCAAAUAAGGCAAACGCAGAGCUGUAACCAACUGGGUGUUUCUACAUGUCACUUCCAUCUUCUGGACCUUCAUUCCAUCUUCUCUAACUCAUUUCUAUUUUCAGUAUUUCACUUCUGUCUUCGGUACCUCAUCACCAUCUUCUGAACUUUGUUCCCUAUUCUCUAUCUCACUUCUGUUUUCUAUCACUUUCAUCUUCUCUAACUCAUUUCCAUCUUCUGUACUUCACCUCUGUCUUCUGUACCUCCUCAUCUUCUAGGCCUUCUUCAGUCUUCUAUGCCUCACUUCCAUUUUCCUUACCUUAUUUUCAUCUUCUGUACCUCACUUCUGUUUUUCAUAAAUGACUUCCGUUUCCUGUGACUUCUGUUUUCUCCACAUCACAUUCGUUUUCUGUGCCUCACUUCCAUUUUCCUUAACUGAUUUCCAUCUUCUGUACCUCACUAACGUUUUUCAUAACUCACUUCUGCUUCCUGUGACUUACUUCCGUUUCCU